CUAAAACAAACUAAUAUAAACAUGGGAGCACGACUGCUUAGGUGUCUAAAGGAGACUGGAACCACAGCUGCCUAGGUGUCUAAAGGAGACUGGGUGACCACAGCUGCCUAGGUGUCUUAAGGCGACUGGGUGACCACAGCUGCCUAGGUGUCUAAAGGAGACUGGGACCACAGCUGCCUAGGUGUCUAAAGGAGACUGGGACCACAGCUGCCUAAUUGUCUAAAGGCGACUGGGACCACAGCUGCCUAGGUGUCUAAAGGAGACUGGGUGACCACAGCUGCCUAGGUGUCUAAAGGAGACUGGGACCACAGCUGCCUAAGUGUCUAAAGGAGACUGGAACCACAGCUGCCUAGGUGUCUAAA